UUGCUUUCUUUGCUGGCGACCGGCGCACGGGUGAGUAACACGUAUCCAACCUGCCCUUUACCCGGGGAUAGCCUUUCGAAAGAAAGAUUAAUACCCGAUAGCAUAAUGAUUCCGCAUGGUUUCAUUAUUAAAGGAUUCCGGUAAAGGAUGGGGAUGCGUUCCAUUAGGUUGUUGGUGAGGUAACGGCCCACCAAGCCUUCGAUGGAUAGGGGUUCUGAGAGGAAGGUCCCCCACAUUGGAACUGAGACACGGUCCAA
rnacentral:rRNA from 1 species